rnacentral:rRNA from 1 species
UAUACCGUAGCUUGCUACACCAUAGACUGUGAGUUGCGAACGGGUGAGUAACGCGUAGGUAACCUGCCUAUUAGAGGGGGAUAACUAUUGGAAACGAUAGCUAAUACCGCAUAACAGUAUGUAACACAUGUUAGAUGCUUGAAAGAUGCAAUUGCAUCGCUAGUAGAUGGACCUGCGUUGUAUUAGCUAGUAGGUAGGGUAAAGGCCUACCUAGGCAACGAUACAUAGCCGACCUGAGAGGGUGAUCGGCCACACUGGGACUGAGACACGGCCCAGACUCCUACGGGAGGCAGCAGUAGGGAAUCUUCGGCAAUGGGGGGAACCCUGACCGAGCAACGCCGCGUGAGUGAAGAAGGUUUUCGGAUCGUAAAGCUCUGUUGUUAAGGAAGAACGAGUGUGAGAAUGGAAAGUUCAUGCUGGAC